AAAGAAAUGAAUCUCACAGAGCUAUCUGCCAUAAUAAUGAGCAGAGCUUAGCUUAAAGCUGACCUUAAUUGCCCCCUUCAACAAGCACUGGAAGAGCGCCCUUUUUGUUCUAAGAAUUCAUUUACUUGACGCAUAUAAAAUAGUACUUUUUCUUUUCCAUAUUUCUCUCAUUCCUCCAAAAGCUUAUAUGAAUGGGAAGUUUUUACCACACAUCACGGAGAUACCUGCCACUCAUUUGAAGAUUUUUAACCAUACUCUCAGCCUUCGAGCUGUCGAGAGAUCCCUGUUCUUGCACAAUGUUAUGAAGAGUUCGGUGGACAUCUCUGGCCAUGCCCUUAGCGUCACCACAAACAUAAAGGUAAGCCCCUUGAGAUAAUAGAUUCCAAAUAUCCGAUGCCUUUUCAACCAUUUUAUGCUGCACAUAUUCCUUAGAGGGCCCCUCACGUGAGAACGCAACAACCAGCUCAGAAAGUGCACCAGUUUCAACAAAGUUGUUCAGCUCAUCCUCAUAGAUGUAAUCCAUUUUCCUGUUCCUGCACCCAAAGAACAAUAUGGAGUGUCCUAAUUCCUCACCAGCUUGUUUCAGAGCUAACCUUUCCUGCAAGAACCCCCUGAAAGGAGCCAACCCCGUUCCAGGACCAAUCAUGAUAAUGGGCAAUUUAGAAUCUGUGGGAAGCUUGAAGUUUGAUUGCCUAACAUAAAUGGGUGCCCAACUGCAUUCUUGGCUCUCCUCCAGUGAAAUAGCAUUCUUCAUCCAAGUUGAGCAUACACCUUUGUGAAUUCGUCCAGUUGGUGUUUUGUCGUAGACCAAUGCACAAGUUACAUGAAUUCUAGAUGGGGCCAUCCUUGGGGAAGAUGAUAUAGAGUAAUAUCUAGGCUGCAAGCGUGGGGCAACUGCCGCAAAAAAGACACCAAGUGGUGGCCUCGCAGAUGGAAAUUCAGCCAUUACUUCGAGGAGACUUCUUUGACUAGUAACUAUCCAUUGAGAAUACUCAUCCUUUCCAGCAGGUGAUGAAAGAUGCCUUAGUCGAUCAGCUUCUACUGGAUCAGAAGCAUGAGCAGCUAGAGCAACCAAGGCAGACUUCUUGGGUGAACUCAAAAGGUCGGCAUAUUGAGUCAAUGCAGUCCUUAAAGUGCAAGGUGCAAAAGGUGGUGGCAAUGAACUUCCACUUAAUGGUGUGCCAUCUUCCUUAUCAGUAUGGAUAGAGAAAUAUGUUUCAGGUGACAGACCAAUUAAACGAAUAGCCUCCUCUACAACUUCAUCCAAAUUCUCACAAAAAACACCCACAUGAUCUCCAGUUUCAUACGUCAGUCCAGUGCCAGAAAUAUCAAACUCCAGAUGGGUGCAAGACCUGUCUGAUGCAGAAGUAUGAAGCUCCUUUCUCACGGCCACAUUAGCCCUGCAUGGAUGUUGAGCAUCGUAAACAGCAUGACCGUUUGCAAAAGCCCAUCUCUUGUCCCCACCAGAUACAUCUGCAGCAUCAUAGAAUACAACCCUGUACUCCAAUACAGCAGCAGUAUAUGGGGUAGAAACAGUCGUAGAGUCAUCCUCAUCUCGAAGUAACUUAUCCAGCUCAGGCCAUAAUGCUUCACGCCAAGCAGAGAAAUCAUCCUCGAUGCACUGAUCAUCAUCUCCUAGACCCACUGGGACAAGACGCUUUGCACCCUGUUCAGCAAGCUGUUCAUCCACCACUUUUGCAAUCUUAUUGAAAUGCUCAUACUGCCGGUUACCAAGGCCAAAUACUGCAUACUGAAGAUUUGAAAUCCAUUCUCCCUUCUCCUUCCCCUCAGAGAACCAUUUAUAGAACCUUGCCGCAUUAUCCGUUGGCUCUCCAUCCCCAUAUGUAGCUAAGAAGAAAAUAGCUAAAGUCUCUUUUUUCAACUUUUCUUCGUACUCAUCGUCAUCGGCUGCAUAGUCAUCCAAAUCAACCACUCUAAAAGUCGCCUUCUCAUAUCGAGCUUUCGCCUCCUCGGCAAGAGCCUUUGCAAAGCCUUCAGCGGUGCCGGUCUGCGUACCAAAAAAGACAGUGACCUUCUUCUUGCCAUCAUCUACUUCCGGCUCAGGUUCUUUGACUAUCAACUGCUUAGGAGGCUCGAACGGUUUUGCCUUCUGGCCACUGGAUCUCUUCCAAACAAAGACCACAACGCAGCCGAUCAGAACCGCAAUCGAGGUAGUCAAGAUCAUGACGAACUCUCUGUUAUCCAAGAUUAGAGUAGCUACUUCCCGAACCGACUCGGACGAAUCCUGCGACGGAUCCAUCGCCUUCCUGAUUAUUGCUGACAUAAGCUCCAACGGAGAGACCUUCAUCGACCUGGAUUCCGGCUGCAUAUGGCCAAAGCAACACCGGAACAGAACAAAAACGAGGAAAAAUAGAAACAAGCUGCGGAAUCCGGUCGACGUAAUGAUAAUAGGAAAGAGAAGAGCACCGGAUUCCGGCGAGAAACGGAAAACAGCUACAGAACUGAGGGUAAAACAGUGGCCGGAAAAACAGAGGAAAAAUGGUGAAACUUCUCUCCCUCGGUGGUUGGUUGCAGGUAGAGAGAGA
rnacentral:misc_RNA from 1 species